GAUGAACGCUGGCGGCGUGCCUAACACAUGCAAGUCGAACGGAACUAUUUUGGAAACUCCUUCGGGAGCGGAAUCUUUAGUUUAGUGGCGGACGGGUGAGUAACGCGUGAGCAAUCUGCCUUUAAGAGGGGGAUAACAGUCGGAAACGGCUGCUAAUACCGCAUAAAGCAUCAAAUUCGCAUGUUUUUGAUGCCAAAGGAGCAAUCCGCUUUUAGAUGAGCUCGCGUCUGAUUAGCUGGUUGGCGGGGUAACGGCCCACCAAGGCGACGAUCAGUAGCCGGACUGAGAGGUUGAACGGCCACAUUGGGACUGAGACACGGCCCAGACUCCUACGGGAGGCAGCAGUGGGGAAUAUUGCGCAAUGGGGGAAACCCUGACGCAGCAACGCCGCGUGAUUGAAGAAGGCCUUCGGGUUGUAAAGAUCUU
rnacentral:rRNA from 1 species